UACAGAGGUCUCAAGCGUUGUUCGGAUUCAUUGGGCGUAAAGGGUGCGUAGGCGGCGCGGUAAGUCGGGUGUGAAAUCUCGGAGCUUAACUCCGAAACUGCAUUCGAUACUGCCGUGCUUGAGGACUGGAGAGGAGACUGGAAUUUACGGUGUAGCGGUGAAAUGCGCAGAUAUCAGGAGGAACACCGGUGGCGAAGGCGGGUCUCUGGGCCGAUACUGACGCUGAGGAGCGAAAGCGUGGGGAGCAAACCGG
rnacentral:rRNA from 1 species